GCUUAACACAUGCAAGUCGGACGGUAGCAGGAGAAAGCUUGCUUUCUUGCUGACGAGUGGCGGACGGGUGAGUAAUGCUUGGGAAUCUGGCUUAUGGAGGGGGAUAACGACGGGAAACUGUCGCUAAUACCGCGUAAUAUCGAAAGAUUAAAGUGUGGGACCUUCGGGCCACAUGCCAUAGGAUGAGCCCAAGUGGGAUUAGGUAGUUGGUGGGGUAAAGGCCUACCAAGCCUGCGAUCUCUAGCUGGUCUGAGAGGAUGACCAGCCACACUGGAACUGAGACACGGUCCAGACUCCUACGGGAGGCAGCAGUGGGGAAUAUUGCGCAAUGGGGGGAACCCUGACGCAGCCAUGCCGCGUGAAUGAAGAAGGCCUUAGGGUUGUAAAGUUCUUUCGGUAUUGAGGAAGGUUGAUGUGUUAAUAGCACAUCAAAUUGACGUUAAAUACAGAAGAAGCACCGGCUAACUCCGUGCCAGCA
rnacentral:rRNA from 1 species